ACGGCUCAGUAACACGUAGACAACCUACCCUUAGGACGGGUAUAAACCCGGGAAACUGGGUAUAAUCCCCGAUAGUCCUCGACUGCUGGAAUGCAUCGAGGGCGAAAGCUCCGGCGCCUAAGGAUGGGUCUGCGGCCUAUCAGGUAGUAGUGGGUGUAACGUACCCACUAGCCUACGACGGGUACGGGUUGUGAGAGCAAGAGCCCGGAGAUGGAUUCUGAGACACGAAUCCAGGCCCUACGGGGCGCAGCAGGCGCGAAAACUUUACAAUGCGAGCAAUCGUGAUAAGGGGACCCCGAGUGCCUGUAUACGCAGGCUGUUCAGGUGUCUAAAAAACACCUGGAGAAAGGGCCGGGCAAGACCGGUGCCAGCCGCCGCGGUAAUACCGGCGGCUCGAGUGGUGGCCACUAUUACUGGGCUUAAAGCGUCCGUAGCUGGGUUGUUAAGUCUCCUGGGAAAUCUGCCGGCUUAACCGUCAGGCGUUCAGGAGGUACUGGCAAUCUAGGGACCGGGGGAGGUGAGAGGUACUCCGGGGGUAGGAGUGAAAUCCUGUAAUCCUCGGGGGACCACCUGUGGCGAAGGCGUCUCACCAGAACGGCUCCGACAGUGAGGGACGAAAGCUGGGGGAGCAAACCGGAUUAGAUACCCGGGUAGUCCCAGCUGUAAACGAUGCAAACUCGGUGAUGCAUUGGCUUAUGGCCAAUGCAGUGCCGCAGGGAAGCCGUUAAGUUUGCCGCCUGGGAAGUACGGACGCAAGUCUGAAACUUAAAGGAAUUGGCGGGGGAG
rnacentral:rRNA from 1 species